UUCGAUUCUGGAUCCACAGUG
ensembl:piRNA 21ur-12964 ncRNA